rnacentral:rRNA from 1 species
GCGCGAAAACUUUACAAUGCUGGCAACAGCGAUAAGGGAACCUCGAGUGCCAGGUUACAAAUCUGGCUGUCGAGAUGCCUAAAAGCAUUUCAUAGCAAGGGCCGGGCAAGACCGGUGCCAGCCGCCGCGGUAACACCGGCGGCUCGAGUGGUAACCGUUAUUAUUGGGUCUAAAGGGUCUGUAGCCGGCCGGAUAAGUCUCUUGAGAAAUCUGGCAGCUUAACUGGCAGGCUUUCAGGAACUACUGUCUGGCUCGAGGCCGGGAGAG